rnacentral:rRNA from 1 species
UACGUAGGGGGCGAGCGUUGUCCGGAGUUACUGGGCGUAAAGGGCACGCAGGCGGUGCGGCGCGUGUCGCGUGACAGCGGGUGGCUUAACUGCCCGAGGGUGCGACAGACGGCCGGACUUGAGGGCCAGAGAGGGACCUGGAAUUCCGGGUGGAGUGGUGAAAUGCGUAGAUAUCCGGAGGAACACCAAAGGCGAAGGCAGGGUCCUGGCUGGUGACUGACGCUGAGGUGCGAAAGCUAGGGGAGCGAACGGG